CCCCUAGAUGUUCUGGGCCGCACGCGCGCUACACUGAACAGUUCAACAAGUCUUAACCUUGGCCGAUAGGUCUGGGUAAUCUUUGAACGCUGGUCGUGAUGGGGAUAGACUUUUGCAAUUUUUGGUCUUCAACGAGGAAUUCCUAGUAAACGCAAGUCAUCAACUUGCAUUGAUUACGUCCCUGCCCUUUGUACACACCGCCCGUCGCACCUACCGAUUGAAUGGUCCGGUGAAGCCUCCGGAUUGGCGCGCACCUCGGUGCCGCCGAGAAGUUGGCUAAACCUUACCAUUUAGAGGAAGGUGAAGUCGUAACA
rnacentral:rRNA from 1 species